AUGCAGCUGAGAACUUGAUAUGUGGUUUCGCAGUACCUGACAGGAAAAAUAUUGGUCUUAAUAGGAGUAAAGCGCUCAAGAGAUAUGGCGUGGACUUUCACCCAACUGGUUAAACAUCUUAGUAUUCUUAUGUGGAUUUGUAUAUUAUCACCGCCGUUUUGGAGACACGCCUUC